AUGUCGAUGGCCCGAGGUAGAGCACUCAAUGGGCUAGGGUGGCCCCCAUUUCGCUUUACCAACCCCAGGGAAACUCCGAAUACAGGCCGUCAUCCUUAGUACAGACAGACUGAUUGGGUGCUAAGAUCCAAAGUCGAGAGGGAAACAGCCCAGAUAGUACGCUAAGGUCCCUAAGCAAUCACUUAGUGGAAAAGGAAGUGAUCGAGCGAUGACAACCAGGAGGUGGGCUUGGAA
rnacentral:ncRNA from 1 species